rnacentral:rRNA from 1 species
AGUGAACGCUGGCGGUAGGCCUAACACAUGCAAGUCGAACGGCAGCACAGUAAGAGCUUGCUCUUACGGGUGGCGAGUGGCGGACGGGUGAGGAAUACAUCGGAAUCUACUUUUUCGUGGGGGAUAACGUAGGGAAACUUACGCUAAUACCGCAUACGACCUACGGGUGAAAGCAGGGGAUCUUCGGACCUUGCGCGAUUGAAUGAACCGAUGUCGGAUUAGCUAGUUGGCGGGGUAAAGGCCCACCAAGGCGACGAUCCGUAGCUGGUCUGAGAGGAUGAUCAGCCACACUGGAACUGAAACACGGUCCAGACUCCUACGGGAGGCAGCAGUGGGGAAUAUUGGACAAUGGGCGCAAGCCUGAUCCAGCCAUACCGCGUGGGUGAAGAAGGCCUUCGGGUUGUAAAGCCCUUUUGUUGGGAAAGAAAAGCAGCAGGUUAAUACCCCGCUGUUCUGACGGUACCCAAAGAAUAAGCACCGGCUAACUUCGUG